rnacentral:misc_RNA from 1 species
CUGUGAUUAUACCAACACCACACUGUGUGGGCGCACAAAACACCUAAACCUGGAGUAUACACACGUCAACAAAAGAUCUAAAAGAAUA